rnacentral:rRNA from 1 species
AGCUGGCGGCGUGCCUAAUACAUGCAAGUCGAACGCUUCUUUCCUCCCGAUGCUUGCACUCAAUUGGAAAGAGGAGUGGCGGACGGGUGAGUAACACGUGGGUAACCUACCCAUCAGAGGGGGAUAACACUUGGAAACAGGUGCUAAUACCGCAUAACAGUUUAUGCCGCAUGGCAUAAGAGUGAAAGGCGCUUUCGGGUGUCGCUGAUGGAUGGACCCGCGGUGCAUUAGCUAGUUGGUGAGGUAACGGCUCACCAAGGCCACGAUGCAUAGCCGACCUGAGAGGGUGAUCGGCCACACUGGGACUGAGACACGGCCCAGACUCCUACGGGAGGCAGCAGUAGGGAAUCUUCGGCAAUGGACGAAAGUCUGACCGAGCAACGCCGCGUGAGUGAAGAAGGUUUUCGGAUCGUAAAACUCUGUUGUUAGAGAAGAACAAGGACGUUAGUAACUGAACGUCCCCUGACGGUAUCUAACCAGAAAGCCACGGCUAACUACGUGCCAGCAGCCGCGGUAAUACGUAGGUGGCAAGCGUUGUCCGGAUUUAUUGGGCGUAAAGCGAGCGCAGGCGGUUUCUUAAGUCUGAUGUGAAAGCCCCCGGCUCAACCGGGGAGGGUCAUUGGAAACUGGGAGACUUGAGUGCAGAAGAGGAGAGUGGAAUUCCAUGUGUAGCGGUGAAAUGCGUAGAUAUAUGGAGGAACACCAGUGGCGAAGGCGGCUCUCUGGUCUGUAACUGACGCUGAGGGUCGAAAGC